GUUUCUGGUCUACCAGCCACCUGCCUGCCUUCUGGAUUUUGUCUUGCCAGUCCCCACAAUCAUAGAAACCUGAUACAAUCACGAAAGGAACUGAUAAAAGAAUGAAGCAAAUGGCCCUCACCACUACAGUACAAAACAUUAUAUUAGUCUGAAAACAAGGUCUAACUCUGCAUUCCACAGGGACGUAGUUGGAGAAACAGGUUUAACAAUGUCAUCACACUGCUUAGAGGAAGACGGAGACCAUGGAGACUAGGAUUCAGUUCCUGAGCAGGGGAGUGACUUCAAAAGAUUAUUGUGGGAGUGAUGUGCACAA